CGGCAUUUCCUCUUUUCUCGCGGUGCAUUGUGGGUAACGAGGCAAAGUCUCGCCUGUAUUUCACAAUGCAUUGUGGGUACCGAGGCAUUUCAUUGAAAACCAGGAAGUCACUUCCUCUCCUCGCGAUGGAUUGUGGGUAACGAGGCGGAAGCAACUACAAUUCCCGCAUUGCAUUGUGGGUACCGAGGCACUCCCUAAAUUAUACACCUGCGACAGGUGCGCGGCCACGCCCGAACCAGUUCCAAACCAGUAUAAACCAGUUCAAACCAGUCCGGGAGCGCAGCCAUNNNNNNNNNNNNNNNNNNNNUGGCGGCGGUGGUGCUGGCGGUGGCGCUCGGGGCGGUUUUGGUGGCCCUCGGGGGAGUUUUGGUGGCCGCGCUGGCCCGGAGGGGCCCGGACGGGCCGAGGUUGGCGGUGCCGGGACGGGCGGUGGCGCACAGGGGAGGUGCGGGGGAGAAGAUCGAGAACACCAUGGAGGCCUUUGAGAAGUGAGACCACGCCCCUUUCCCUGACCACGCCCUCUUUUAGUUCCUCUCUUUAAACCUUUCUAAAGAGACCACGCCCCUUUUUGAGACCUUCUUAAAGGGCCAGCAACACAUUUAUUUUAAAGCCACGCCCAUUUUUAAUUAGUCCCCACCCCCUUUUAUUUGCUCCUCCCAUUUUUUACAGGGCCGACAGGACCCUGUCCUGUGGCUCCGCCCCCACCGCCAGUACCGAGGCAUCUCAUUGGUUAAAUAUCCUAACCCCGCCCCUUUUUCUGUGGCCACGCCCCUUCUGCUACGUUUGAGGAUUCUAUUGGUUCUAAACCUUAACCCCGCCCCUUUUUCUUGCGGCCACGCCCCCUCUACCAGUACCAAGUUCUCUAAUUGCCUCUAGAUCUUAGCCCCGCCCCCUUUUCUUUGGCCACGCCCCCUCCACCAGCACCCAGGACUCCUAUAGGCUCUAUACCCUAACUCCGCCCCCUUUUAUCGUGACCACGCCCCCUCCACCCCUACUAAGGUCUCUGAUUGUCGCUAUAUCUUAACUCCGCCCCAUUUUCUGUGGCCACGCCCCCUUCUGCCUUCUUUGAGGAUUUUUAUUGGCUCUAAAUCUUAACCCCGCCCCUUUUUAUAGUGGCCACGCCCCCUAAACCAGCACCAAGGCCUCUUAUAGNNNNNNNNNNNNNNNNNNNNCCCCGCCCCCUUUCCUUGUGGCCACGCCCCCUCCACCAGCAUCAAGACUUCCUAUAGGCUCUAUAUCUUAACCCCGCCCCCUUUUGUGUUGGCCCCGCCCCCAGCGCGGUCUCGCAGGGCUGCGAUUGGCUGGAGCUGGACGUGCGCCGCACCCGCGAUGGCGUCGUCGUCGUCUGUCACGACCGGGAGCUGUCGCGACAGAGCGGCCGCCAUCUUGAAAUCAGCCAGACCGAUUACAAGGUCAGUUAAUUAGCGAUUAAUUAGUGCUAAUUAACGGGGAUUAAGGGAUUGGGGUAAUUAGGGGUUAAUUAAGGGGUAAUGGGUAAUUGGGGCGGGAAUUAAUAGGGAUGUGGGGUUAAUUAGGGAGAGUUAAUUAGUGGUGAUUGAUGGAUGUUGGUCGUAAUUAGUCAUAAUCAUGUGUUAAUUAAUGUUAAUAAAUAUUAAUUGGUGAUACUUUAUGGUAAUUAG
rnacentral:lncRNA from 1 species